UUCCAGAAAACAAUGAUGGGAUAAUUUCCAAGCAUAUAUCUGAUAAUUCCAUGUGGAAUUCAACUAUGAGUCUCCUGAAC